AGUGAACGCUGGCGGUAGGCCUAACACAUGCAAGUCGAACGGCAGCACAGUAAGAGCUUGCUCUUACGGGUGGCGAGUUGCGGACGGGUGAGGAAUACAUCGGAAUCUACUUUUUCGUGGGGGAUAACGUGGGGAAACUUACGCUAAUACCGCAUACGACCUACGGGUGAAAGCAGGGGAUCUUCGGACCUUGCGCGAUUGAAUGAGCCGAUGUCGGAUUAGCUAGUUGGCGGGGUAAAGGCCCACCAAGGCGACGAUCCGUAGCUGGUCUGAGAGGAUGAUCAGCCACACUGGAACUGAGACACGGUCCAGACUCCUACGGGAGGCAGCAGUGGGGAAUAUUGGACGAUGGGCGCAAGCCUGAUCCAGCCAUACCGCGUGGGUGAAGAAGGCCUUCGGGUUGUAAAGCCCUUUUGUUGGGAAAGAAAAGCAGCAGGUUAAUACCCCGCUGUUCUGACGGUACCCAAAGAAUAAGCACCGGCUAACUUCGUG
rnacentral:rRNA from 1 species